CCUCACGAUCUUCUAAUUCUAAUAAGAACAAGAAAUCUUUCGCGAUCAAUCCUUUUGCCCCAUUCUUCAAUAAUCAGAAAGAUCCUUUUCAAACAAGUUUGAAUUUUUUCGUUUGGAAUCAGGACUCUUCUACUGCAUUUUUAUUUACUUUCUUUUUUUCUUUUCUUUCAUCAUUCCUUAACUCCCACAAGGUUUGGUCCUGUAGAAUCUGACCCAUUUCAUCAUUGAGCGAAAAGUACGAAAAAAAUCAGAUCGAUUUUUCGAUCAAAAGUACUAUGUGANUAAUCGAUUACAACAUGUUCAUAAUCGAUUGUAUCAGUAAAAAUUACAAUAUUAAUUAUUUUCCUACUACAUUCAAGAUACUACAAGUUGCUUUUAAAUAUUCUCUUAUUACAAACAAAGAUUACAAUUUGCAGCAUCAUCGAAACUUGUCUUCAGGUUUUACCAAUACCCCUUUAUUGGUAACAAUCCCAUCCAGGAUCGUUACUGUUACCAUACUGAGCAGGGAAGAAUUUAUACAAAAAUGUAUGCUUAAGAUCUUCCCAAGAAGUGAUGGAUCUUGGAGGAAGACAAUACAGCCAACCCCUUGCCGCUUCUUGUAAUGAAUGCGGAAAUGCCCUUAAAAACACUUCUUCAUCCGGGACAUUGAUGAAGGUUCAAAAAUAGUUAUUUUCAUGUGUCAUUUUAGACCUAAUUACGCCCUUUACUACUUGGAAUGAGCUUAGAAUCAAGCAAAACUCAAUAAAUGACUCUGUAGAGAGUCAAAAGCUGUUUUUAGCGAUAUUAUGCUUGUUUUGCAUUGUUUUGUAGCUAUUUUGAGGAAAUGAAGAAUGGAGUUGAAGAUAAAGGUCGUAGACUCAAGAAAAGGGAAGAAAAUUGAAGAUUUGAAGAGUCGACACACCGCCCGGCGGCAACUUACACCGCCGGGCGGUCCAGGGCGAGGAGUAGGCACCAGCGUUGGCGCUGGGCGGUUUUGAGGGAAACCGCCGGGCGGUGACGACUGCCGCCGGGCAUUUUGAGAAUCAAAGUCAGCAGAAUAUGCACGAGAAGCAAUAUCAGAGUUAACUGCCGAAGGAGAAUCAAAGUCAUGGACAUAGGCAGAACAAACAGUAUCCACAUAACCAAAAUAGGUAGACAUGGGAAAGAAGGGAAAAGAAGAAUGCAAUGAAAAUAUGCAACUAAAGCUACCUAAAUGCAACACACAAUGACGAACACACAAAACAGAACAAUGCACUCACAACACAAGACAAAACACAACACACACAAACACAACAAAAGACCUAAAACUGAACCGUUGGUCCCCGGCAACGGCGCCAAAAUUUGAUGGGUGUCGCGGCCUAUACAAAUUUGAUUGCAUAUGAGAAAUGCAGUAUAGCUAGGAAGUUACUCCUAGGUCGUCUCUCAAGGACCAACUACGGUUCGAGAAUUAGGUCAGACACGAAGUGGGGGGGUUUGAAAGGUUUUGUGACUGCAAAAGAACUAAAUUAAGACAUAGAUGCAAACACAAAAGCAAACACAGAUGUAAAAACUAGUUCAAAGACAGAAUGAAAAUGGUCGGUCAUUAACUCAAUUAAAAUGCUUUCAAUCCCAGAUCAAAGACAAAUACCCACUACUCUAAUCCAAAUCCGACACGAAUCACCCAACUAAGCGAAGGUUAAUUCGAUCUUCAAAAUUGCAAACUAAGCGAAUGCAAUGCUCAAAUUUAAUCAGUCAUACACCAUACAGUCUAAUCAACUAAGCGAAGAUUAAACACCGACUAGGCAACUAAGCGUAUACCGAAUCGCAGGCAGACAACAGAUUAAAUAUUGAGCAGAAUCAAAGUAGCAGUAUGGCAAUUAAACUGCAAGAAUCUCAUGGAAACUAUGUAAUUUUAUUAACGACCAACCAAAUAACCUAAGCUAACAUUGUAGUUAAAUUAACACAAUCAAACAGAAUAAACAUCAUGAUGAAUGCAACUUGAACUCAAACAUCCAAUGCAAAAGUGUUGGAACCUAUUUAAGUGCAACUCAUAAAUCAGCAAUGUAUAAGUUAGAAAUUAGAAAUAAAGUUUAAAAUCAUUAAACCCAUUUUCCGUGAUGGUGAGCCAUUAAAGACAUGAAUAAUGGUGGAUGUGAUAGCCAUGAGUCUAGCCAUGAGUCUCCAACCAAGACGUAUGCUUUUCCAAAUGGAUAAGCGUUUUUCACUAACAGAAAAAAAAAAAAAAAUUGGUGCUUGCUACAAGAAUGAGCUCUUCCCUAAUAAAAUCAACACCUUCUCCGUUCCAGCAACUUCUAAUAAAACUAAAACCUUGUGCAGCUCCAAAUAAAUUCACGGUGUAAGUGCUUUAAUGCCACACUUUCUUCCAACUUCAUGAUAUAACCCGCAGCCACUAAUAGCAAAAUGGUAAAGCACGACUCCAAUUAAAGAAAGGAGAAAUAAAUCUCAGUUUUCAGCUUCAGCGUGUGCAACUUAUGGUCGUGACACCUCAGCUUCCCAAAUGAAAAAUGCAUCUAUCAAACCACGUACACACCCUUCAACAGUGAAAGCUUACAUACAUUCAGGAAAUAAUAAAAAAAACGUUAAAAGCAAACUCAAGGGAGAGUGGCGACUGCUAGCUACAAGGCACCGUUCUUCAUUCAUCCAUAAUCGUCCAGUGUAAACAUUGUUCAAGGCUUUCUAAAAAAAACAUUAAGCACCCUCCCAGCCGAAUGCCAAACUAAAUGAUGGUUGGAUACAUUUCCAAUCCCUAGGCCAUGUGUCAUGUAAUGAGGGUGGGGUCCACCCAAAAAAAAAUAAACCCAAGGGUGCCAAGUGUCUUCCUACCAAUUGCGCUCAACAACAAAUUCCAAAAAUUGGCCCACAAUGUAAAACUUUGUCUAAAAAAACUAAACUUCUAAAUUACAAUUUUGAUUAAUUCUAAACUACUAAAUUAAAAUAUAACUAAUCACUACUGCAAAAACACUGUUUAACGUCGGUUAAUUUGGGCAUUUUACGUCACCUUCACAUCCGACGUUUAUACGGGUGACGACUAUGGGACGUCCCAAUUCCUCAGAACCGACGUUCAUAUAAACGUCGGAUAACGAUAUACACUGACGUCUAUAUAGACGUCUGCUUAUACUCACAUCGACGUCUAAUUACUCUAUAUAGACGUCCACCUAUGACUAAACCGACGAAAACAUGAAUAUAUAAAGAGGUUUAAAAUGACACUAACCGACAUCUAUGUUGUUCUAGACGUCGGACAUGGCUUUAACCGACGUCUAACAACAAUUUUGUAUUUUAGUGCAGUUUUGAUCCAAGCUUUCGGUAGCAUUGUGUAACACUCUCCUCUCGCUAGUUUCCCCACAAAAAAAGCUUGCGUCUUUUGAAUCUUCUACUGCUUUCAACCCAAAACUAAACCUGGGUCCAUGGCUACUUCCCAUUAUUCAACCGCAACAGAAAAAAGUUGCGGUGUCGAGAAGUAGACAAGGACCCAAGUUCCAUUUUGGGUCGGAAGAACUAGAAAACUCAAAAGAUCGCCACUCUUCUUGUGAGGAAACCAGCAAAGGGAGAAUGUUACACUAUGUUACCCAAAGAGAGAUCAAAACUGCACUAAAACACAACACAACGAAAGCAAAUUUUAAUCAGUUGAACGAAAAGAUAAUGGAUAAAAAACUAAAGAAAGUUUAAACAAUAAGCAUAAAAAAAACCACGCACCUGGGAUGCAAAAGAGAAAAAGGAGAUGACGAAGACAAUAUCUUUAUGAGAAACGAUAAUGCAAUGCCGCAAGAGAUAAAAAGUAGAGGUGCGCAAGCGAGUAAAAGAAGAGGAGAAUCAGAGAAAAAGGAGAAGAAAUGAAGACGCGAUCAGAAACUGAAUGGCGUAAAGAGUCUGCGGUCUAUUUAAAAUGAAAUGGGGCGUCGAUUGCUCCAGAAACCGACGUCUAGGAAGCUAAAAAGAUUGACGUUUUGGUUUCCUGUCAGGGUAGUUCACGUCGGUGCCCCUCAAAGCCGACGUCUAAAACCCUCGAAAUUGGUGAAAAUACAGGAACGUAGAUGUCAGUGCCCCUCAGAACUGACGUCUACAUUGAAGAAUUUUUGUCUUCCCGCCUUCCAGACAGGCCUUAGACGUCGGCGUUUGACUACGUGAUGUCUAAUUGCCUGGGGCAUUAGGUGAACCGCAUUGAUUGUAGCCUAAUUGACAUUGCUUUUUCACGGGAUCCGACAUCUAUUCGAUGUCUAAAGCUUAACCGGUUGACGUUUGAUUUCCUGUCAGUGACGUAGACGUUAGUGCCCUUGCUAGCCGACGUCUAAGCUCCUGGGAAUUUGAUGGGCAACAUUAAUUGCAACCUAGUAGACGUCGGUCCCCUCAAACACCGACGUUAAUGGACUAUCUUAUCACAUACCUCAGGCAAUUAGACGUCAGUUUGCGGCAAGUGAGACGUCUAUGAUGUGAUAGACGUUGCCUGAUAUCGAAACGGACGUCUAGUUUCCCAAUUUAUUUACGAUAAUGCCACCGUGCAGUAAUAGACGUCGGAUUUUCACGAAACUGACGUCUAAGGGGUGACGUUAAACAGUGUUUUUGCACUAGUGAAUUCUAAAUUGUCCAUGCGGGGAGUCUUGAAUUAAUUUGUCUCCAUCCCAAUGCUCCAAAAUAUAUCUCCAAAAUUUUCCUGCAAUUAAAAAUGCAAAUAAUAAGCUCAGAAUAUUCAAAUUAAUUGAAAUUAGAAUUUCCGAUCAAAUUAAGCACAAUUAGCAUAAACGGGAAAAUAUCGGACAUUUAAGCACAAUUCCUUGAUUAAUUCUGGCACAAUAAACUAAGUGAAGUCGAGAAAAUAUUGACUCAUCAAUAGUAGAUAUAGGAGAGUGGAUAAAGAUGAAAUUGUAAACCCCAACAACUUCAUUAAUUCAUAGUCUUUUUUUUCCAAUUGAUUCAAUUUGCAUUUGCAUGUUUAAAUUCUGUUUUUGCAUUAACACUAUGAUGGGUUGUCGCGACCCACACAAAUUUGAUUGCAAUUUAGAAAUGCAGUAUAGCUAGGAAGUGACUCCUAGGUCGUCUCUCAAGGACCAAAUGUGGUUCGAGAAUCCGGUCAGACACAAAGUGGGGGGGUUGUGAAAGGAUUGUGAAUGUGGAUGAAUUAAUUUGAAACACAGAUGCAAACAGAGAUGGAAACACGGAAUCAAACACAGAAUAAAAACGGUUGGUCAUUAACUCAAUCAUUAUGUAUCCUAUACCAGAUCAACGACAAGUACGACUCGAACCUCUAAUCCAACACAGCUAACCAACUAAGUGAAGGCUAACCAUGUUUUCAUAAUCGUGAACUAAGCGAACGCAAGACACCUAUUCCAUCCAAUGUGUUCUAUACAGAUUGAUCAACUAAGCGAAGAUGCAACCACCAAUCGGGCAACUAAGCGUAUACCUAUUGCAAGAACACAGUUAGAUUUCAUAGAAUGUCAGGCAGAGCAAUAUAAACACAAGAUCAGUUCAAUAAAUCUCAAGGAAGCAAUGCAAUAUCGCUAAUGACCAACCCGGAUAACCUAAGUUAACAUCACAAUUAAAUUAACACGACUAAACAAAAUAGACAAUAUUAAAGUAAAUGAAGAUGCUAAACCUAACACUGCAGUAGAUAAAUAUCCAGACAUAAUCAGAAUUAUCAAAAUGCCACACUAAAUUAAAAAGAUCAAAAGCAACUCAAGAUACUUUGUGAAAU
rnacentral:lncRNA from 1 species